rnacentral:rRNA from 1 species
UACGAAGGGGGCUAGCGUUGCUCGGAAUCACUGGGCGUAAAGAGCUCGUAGGCGGUUCGUCGCGUCGGCUGUGAAAUCCCGAGGCUCAACCUCGGGUCUGCAGUCGAUACGGGCGGACUGGAGUUCGGCAGGGGAGACUGGAAUUCCUGGUGUAGCGGUGAAAUGCGCAGAUAUCAGGAGGAACACCGGUGGCGAAGGCGGGUCUCUGGGCCGAUACUGACGCUGAGGAGCGAAAGCGUGGGGAGCGAACAGG